CCAGCAUUGUGGUCGUGCACAGGGCCGAUCUGAUUAUCUGCAACACCUGGCGUACUUCUGUCUUCCAACAGGGAAUGAAGAGAGUCUGGGAGAACAAGAACUAAAUCCUGAUCUUUGGAUUGUUUGAGGAAACAGCACUGGCAGCUUUCUUGUCUUAUUGCCCUGGCAUUGAUGUGGCUCUCAGGAUGUACCCACUCAAAUGCUGUGUAUCAUUGACAACCUCCUUGAAUACACUCUCAGGGACAGAAGGAGGAAUCCAAAUCCUUCAGAUCCCAAUUACUUUGAAUUUCACACCCCCGGCUGAGCUGAAGAGCCUGACACAUCUGCAAUGCAGUUAUCUUCUGAAAUGAUACUUCCAGAGAAGUCAUUUUCUGUUUGUUAGAGAACAGACGCUAAGGAAUUGCUGCUGGUUGUCGCACUGUAAACAAACACUUAUCACCUAAACACACAGUCAUUAACCUGUCAGGCAUUAACAUGUGCUUGUUAGCAGAGCGAAUUAUCACAAACUCAGAGAACAGCUGAGGCACAGAGAUAUUACAGUAUACAUAAAAGCUUAAAAUCAUGACUAAUAGAGCUGCUUAUAGUAAAUACAACCCAAAUGCUUAAUCUAACUGCUAAAAAAAAAAAAAAACCUUUCCAAACAUGACCAGCCUAUUCAAUAAUGUCCUAUUAUAGGGCUGCACCCUCAAUACAUAUGUGUAAAUGAAGGUAUUUUUGUAUAUAAAAUGUUUCUGGCUGUGACACUUUGAUAUUAUAUAUGUUUUAUAUUUACAUAUAUGACUUAAUGUAAUGCACACAAUUGCUCAACUGUAAUGCACAUGAUAAAUAUUUAAAUAAUUAUAUCAUUUGUAUUACAGUUGAGUUUAAGGAAGCAUUGUUAACAGUCUGAACAGAAUGAACAUUGCUUGCCCAUUUCUGUUCAUUCAUUCAAUUUCUUUUAUCUGUGGAAGUAGCUCAAGGGAAAUUCACAAUUUAACAAAAAGACUGAGAAAUGUUGGGUGAUAUAUUCAGUUUACAGUAUAUUAGUUGGAUAAAAGGAUUUCAAAUUGUGAUACUUGGCUGUCUUACAUUUACACAGAUAAGUUUUACAGGGAUAUACUUACAUCUCUAGGCCUAUAUCUGAUCAACAUUAUUUGAUAAUCUUUUAACAGAGGAGAAAAGGGUUUUCAUUUAAUUUAUUGAUAUAAGCUGUAAAGCUCACAGAUUUUACAACUCUUUCAUUAUGAAUUUACAUUUAACAGCAUAACGCAAUAAAAAUUCCAGCAGCAACAGAUUUAUUGUUAUUGUAUGUUAUCCAUAUUCUUUUGUACUAGUGAAGUGGACAAAUGCAGCGUGAAGCCAUAACUGUUGUGAUUGCCUACCAGGAGCCAGAUAAAAUUAUCCAUAGUUUAAUCAAGUUAUGUCUCUUCAUUCCUGUAGUGUCCAUUAUGCAUAUGGAAAACUCAGCGGAUGUGAAGAUAGUUAUUACGACCACCUGAGGCUACUAACCAUUACUGCUUUAUUGUAAUUUUCAUUUUAUGAUAUUGCCUAGGCGUUCCUGACAUAAAAAAAUUAAAUGAAAAAUGAAUGAAAUAAAAUGUAUACAGCCCUAUUGUAGAGUAAAAAAAAAAAAAAAAUCUAAUUUGUUGCACCCUC